GCUCAGGGACUUACCUAGAACCCGGGGAAACCUGCAAUUUCCUAUGAGUAGGGAGACCGUGAGAUUUGGGCCGCUGGAACGAGGCUUGCUGAGGCUUGUGGGCACAGUGGCCGCUGAGGGCCCCACUGACCCAGCUGAGCUGGUCUGAGCCCGCCCGAACCUGCGACUCCUGGAGGGAGGUUCUUGGAGCGACCCCGGACUGUGCCAGGCCUGCUUCUCAGCGCAGCACAACCCUUUCCGUGACCAUUGUAAUCCAUCAGUCGCCUCUGUGGGUGAAGGGAAAGAUGUGCAACAGUGUGAAUGUUCUCAUGGGAACUGACUUGCCUGAAGGCCAGGGUCCAGGGUCACAUCUCAUGGGACAGUGAUAGCCACAGUCAGGAUGACGUUCCCUCCUCAGUUAAACCUCUGCAAACACCCUCACAAACAUGCCCAGAGGUGUAUGAGUCUGCCUAGCCGAUUCUAAACCCAAUCAAGUUGGCAAUGAAGGCGAGUCAGUACGUAUUCCGUGUUGGCAAGUAUCCUUCAGGAAGCUGAGCAGGAUGCACCAACCACCCUUUGUGUGGCAGCUAAAUAGCAAGUAGCUAAUCCUCCAGAGGUUCCAACAGAAACUUUGCGCGUUUGUCAAAUCUGGGCUCCUGCCUCUGUCCACCGUGCUCCUCAGCUUGCAGAUGCCCACUAAGCCUCCCUGCUCUGUGCCCUUCUUUUCUAAGUCUGUGCUUCCCCAUCACACUUCCUUUCUCUUAGAAAGCACCAGGCACUAGAUGAGGCCAGCAUAAACUCAGCAUGGUCUUUUUCUGAGAUUCUUCCUCCAUUCAAAGACCAUCCUUUCCCAGUGGUCUCAUUCACAGAGUCCAGGUUUGGGAGAAGCACAUUCUAAAUCAAGGUAGUUAUCUAAUCCAGGUAAGCCUAAGGCCAUGGACAGAUCCUGAGGAUUAAGGAUAGCUCUUGCAUCUCUGUGUGGCCCUUUGAUGCCUGCACAUCAGCACACCGGGGUUGGGGAUUGGGGUGCCCUCCAGCCGUGUGACAUCUCAAUAUGAGGCCAUGCUGGGUUUACGAUGGCCUUAAAUCUAGUGGUGCUGUCCCUAUGGGAGAAAUGUGUGGUUGUGCCGAUGAGGCUGAGCCAAAUGCCACAUUGAGCGCGCAAGCUUGUCUGACCUGAGGCUCUGUGGCUGAUGGCUUGGAGAAUAACUGUAUUCCCAUGUGACUUUCAAAACAGCACCUUCCUUUCAAGGCAGCAUGUUCAUGUGGGCCCUCCACCAUCCUUACCACACAUGGUUUAAAAAGCCCCUUUAUCUUCAUACUCAGUUUAAAUCUGGCCUGUCUGUGCCCAGGACCCCAACUUGUGGAUUCUUUGGGUUUCUGGAUCUGUUAUACACUGAAGGCUCAGGAGAAGUUGAGGUGAUGAUGCCCCGGGCUUACUGCUGUCCCUUUUGUAUAUUCAGUCACUCACACCACAACAGCAGAGUCCUGGGAAACAGAGCUAGGACUGUAUGGCCAUGCGGCACCUCGGAUACUUCGUGGAGUGAGGUUCCAGCUCUGCAGCCCUUCCUGAUCCACUUCUACAAGGUGCGGGAUAUGGGACUGAUUCAGGUUGUCCACAGCAGCAAACUAUUUGUCUCAUGUGGGCUCUGAGAGGGGCUCUUUGCCAGCUGCAUUGUUUAAUUCUGAGGACCCUGAGAGGGAAUGCAGGCCAGAGCCCAGAAAGAGAAAGGGGGCUCCAAGGAAAAAAAGGCUGCUGGUGCUUCCUACCUGCUGCUCCUGGUUGCUUUCGAUGCAUCUUGACAAGAAGUUGGAGAUCUCCUGAGAAGAGGAUUGAAUUUGCUCCAAGGAACCUGACGACCCUAAUCAGCAGCAGGAAGUAACUAAUAAAACUAUGCUCCCUCUCCCCACUAACCUUUCUCUACCUGGUGUUGGGGUGUUGGAAGGAUUGGGGUGGAGGAGGGAGGUAGAGGCC